GUUGGAGGCAGAGAUUGGAGGGAUGCUGCCACAAGCCAAGCAAUGCCAGGAGCCACCAGGAGCUGGAAGAGGCAAGGACGGAUCUUCCCCUGGAGCCUUUGGAGGGGCAUAGCCCUGCUGACACCAUGAUUCCAGACUUAUUGGCUUCUACAACUGUGCGAUAAUUGAUUUCUGUUGUGUUAAGUGCCGAAUUGUGGUGCUUUGUAAUGGCAGCCCUAGGAAGCAAACCCAUCUUAACUGCUGGUCUCCCAUCUUCCCAGGUCAUUGCUUUACUCUACUGGGCUACAAUGUCAUUCCGAAGCUACUUCCCCAUUGUGGCUGCUACCUCCUUCCCUCUCCUGUUCCUCUUUGCAGCUACUUCCCCAUCACUUUGGGGCCCACUAAGUCAGGUGCACCCCAGGGAGGGUGUGCUGAGUGUGGGGGGGUGCACUUCCAGAUUGGGAUUGGAGUCUGGUCAGUGUGCAAAGGCUUCUGGUACUAGGAAGUACCAGGAAGGGACUUCACUACGGGUGCAGUCCUGUUUCCCCCUGACUGGAGCCAGGGAGUAGAUGAACAGACCACUCCUCCCUCGAAACCUCCCAUAAAGUGACAGUGGCAGUGUCUCUAAUUCUUAUGAGGGCCCCGGAAGAGAGCAGCAUUAUCUUUGAUUAGCCAAAGAGAAACCUGAGUUCCAGGUGAGCCAGGAACUUGCUGGGUGGAGCUAGGAUUUACUUUUAAGAAUGGGUGAACCCUGAGCCACAGCCUCUGCCGAAGCUCCCGGGGUGCUGGAGGGUGGGUACCGUGCUCUUGGCAGGACAGGUGGGAACAGUUAGGGCCACAGGGAGAAACCUGUAGGUGCCUGGAACCCCACAUUCUGGGUCCUUAAUUCAGUGCAGUUUUUCUCAAUGUGGGGCAAACCUCAUGAUCUCAGGAGAACAGGGCCAGAGCCUCUAUCUAGAACAGCACAUCUUGCUGGAGGCAAAGCCAGACUGUGACAUUCUAGAGAGCCACGUGGUACAGCUGCAGGCCUGGGACUCAGGGUGCCAGCCACGACCCUGGGCAGAGGGGCUGGAGGAGAGUGAUGUGGCCAGAUGCAGCAAGCCGGGGGGCAGGACCAGUGACACACCAGAAAUGAAUCUCCCCUAGUCGUCACUUUUCUCAUACACAAAUGGAGCGUCUGGACUUUGCAGUCUUGAAGACGAGGAAACAGAGGCCAAGGGAGGGAGUUGUCUGAAGUUAUGCAGUGGAACCUGGAACCCAGGCCUGGGGCUGCCUGGCGCUGCCAUUGACAUCACAGGCCCAGGAGCACGGAUGGGGUCCCCCGCCCUGCUGUGCAGAAGCACGGCACCAGGCUCUCCGAGGGGCCUUCAUGAUGUAGACAAGGAUGACAUGCUGAGCUCAAGGUGAUCCCGGGACAGGUCCAGCAGAGUGACUCUGACCUCUCUCUCCACCUGAUGGCGUGUGUCCUCUGCAGGACAUUGACCCUGCCAGGAGCCAGGCUGGCCCAACUUCAGGGAGGGACGGGACAGGUGCUCAGGCUGGAAGGAAAGCGCCUGUCCUUCCUUUUCAUUCUCCUCUGGACAACCCUCUCUCUGUGUCUUAUCUUUGUAUUAUAUAACACGACACGGUGGCUCCAGCCCAGGACAGAAGGGAGGGGUUUGUCUUCCAAGAGGCGGCCACCUCACCCCUGGACUUGUGUCUGAGGGAAGGACUUUGCCCUGGGUUCUGGAACCAGGUGCUGGGUACUUGAUCAGCAGCCCUGGAGUGACUUCUUGGCAGGUGGUCAGUUUGGGACAGGAAGGACACACCCUCAGAGCAGGGACGGGCCUGUCUCACAUCCUCCUCGGAUGGCCAAGGUGCUGGUUAUCUUUUCAGGACUGCUGAGAGGACUGGUGGGUGGCGGGGACCAGGCCGUGUACCUCCCCAGUCUCUGAGUCUAAGGAAAACCUCAGAGCUGAGGCGAGAAGGUGUUCUGGAGGCUGGGCCCCCAGUUGCAGAGCUUGGGGUCGGCUUGCCCUGGGAGGAGCACGGGCAAGAGCAGAGGCCGGGGUGUCAGGAGGAUGUGGUUCCAGGCCUGGCACUGCGCCUCCACCACUGAGAAAGACAGCCACUUCCCCACUAGGCCUCAACUUUCUAGCUGCAGACAAAAGAGGUUGGCCCAGCUAUCCUGUAAGGCCUCGUUCAUCUUAAAGGCUCUGCAGUACAUUAACCCCAUCUGGGACUCUAUGCGCAGUUUUGUUCAGUGGAGUUUGGUGGGGGCUGCUUAAAAAUGUAUCUGAAAUUUUGUCUUUAUUCAGGUAGAGGGAGACCAACAGAUCAGGAGACAACUGCUGUUGAAAAGACAGUUUGCGGCUGGGCACGGUGGCUCACUCUUGUAAUCACAGCACUUUGGGAGGCCGAGGUAGGCGGAUCACCUGAGGUUGGGAGUUUGA